UCUAGAGCAGGGCUAUUCAACUGGUGGCCCGCUGGCCAGAACCGGCCCUUUAAUAAGUUUGGACCGGCCCGCAGCUCAUCUACCCAAAAAUAAUAAUAAAUACACGGAUUAUAAGCUGCUACAAAGUGCAUUCGCCAAUUUUCUGCAUUUUAUGACACUUUGUGGCGCUUUGUGGCACGAUGAGUCCUUUACGGCACGUUAGUACUGUUUCCAAACAGACCCACCUCACAUGAGGGCAUUGCGGGCACUCGAACAGUUGGUGGCGGCAAUGCACCGUAUUAGUUUGCAAACCGCUACUAAACUCGAAUGAAGAAGAAGAAGAAGACAACAGGGCACAUUCAAAGGAGAGGAGACGUAAAUUAUACAGCCAAGAGUAAUAGUACAGGUCACGUGAAUGUCCGGCCCACAGAUCAUAGUAUUCUGACAAAUUUGGCCCCAGGAAAAAUAUAGUUGAAUAGCCCUGCUCUAGAGCCAAUAUGCUUCUGGAAUGGAA